rnacentral:rRNA from 1 species
UGGGGAAUAUUGCACAAUGGGCGAAAGCCUGAUGGAGCAACGCCGCGUGCAGGACGAAGGCCUUCGGGUUGUAAACUGCUUUUAAGAGUGACGAUUAUGACGGUAGCUCUUGAAUAAGCAUCGGCUAACUCUGUGCCAGCAGCCGCGGUAAUACAGAGGAUGCAAGCGUUAUCCGGAAUUAUUGGGCAUAAAGCGUCUGUAGGUUGCAUUCCAAGUCCAGUGUGAAAGACUAGGGCUUAACCCUAGAAG